rnacentral:lncRNA from 1 species
CUGGUUCUUAUUCUCUUUUCUGCCUCCUCUUCCACAAGGUUUCCCUAACCCUAUGGAAAGGAAUUUGAGAGAAUUUUCCCAUUUUGGCUGAGUGUUCCAAGGUCUCUCAGUGUCUGUGUCAUGUUUGGCUGUCUCUCUGUAGGUCUCUGUAGGUGUUAGCAUCUCUCUUCUGCAGGAGGAAAUUUCUUUGAUGAUGGCUAAGCAAGGCCCUGAUCUAUGAGUAGAACAGAAGGUCAUUAAGAGUCCUUUUAUUGCUACAUGGUUUUAGUAGAAUCAUAGUAUUUGGUUUUACCCUAGGACCCUGGGCUAUCUAGUUUCAGAUUCUUGGUUAACUAACUCUUAUAACAUUAGCCCAGGAUCCAAAUAAGAACUGGUGGUAUGACCUGGAUGAGGAGGAAGAUGUGUCCCCCUGUCUUAUGAGCAGCAGAGAGUGUUUCUCUGACCAGCCCUUAGUCUCCUUGGAGCCUUGCCUUGGGGAUUAGCCAGCUCUUCCUGAAGGAUCUCCGCAUCUCCUUCCAGCCAGUGAUUGAUUAUACAUCUUCAUUGCCUAGGCAAUUCAUGCACAGAAUGUAGGAUGGACUCAGCAGUCAAGCUAUAGGUUUAUCACACAAGAGCUGGUAUACUCAAAGGAGCAGUGUAUCAAGAGGGCAUUUUACAAAGGGUCAUGUUGUAACCAAAGACAAUCUGCAUCUCUAUGCCUGAAGACAAAGGGAGGAGGUGAUGGAGGGUGGGUGUCUGGGAGCUGGUAUAUAGUA